rnacentral:rRNA from 1 species
CGGAGGAUCCAAGCGUUGUCCGGAUUUAUUGGGUUUAAAGGGUGCGUAGGCGGAUCUUUAAGUCAGUGGUGAAAGCCUGCAGCUUAACUGUAGAACAGCCAUUGAAACUGAAGAUCUUGAAUGUGGUUAAAGUAGGCGGAAUGUAUCAUGUAGCGGUGAAAUGCUUAGAUAUGAUACAGAACACCGAUAGCGAAGGCAGCUUGCUGAACCAUUAUUGACGCUGAGGCACGAAAGCGUGGGGAGCGAACAGGAUUAGAUACCCUCGUAGUCCACGCCCUAAACGUUGAUUACUCGUUGUUGGCGAUAUACUGUCAGCGACCAAGCUAAAGCGUUAAGUAAUCCACCUGGGAAGUACGACCGCAAGGUUG